UACGGAGGGUGCGAGCGUUAUCCGGAUUUAUUGGGUUUAAAGGGUGCGUAGGUGGGUUGGUAAGUCAGUGGUGAAAUACUUUCGCUUAACGAAGGAACUGCCAUUGAUACUACCAGUCUUGAAUACAGUGGAGGUAGGCGGAAUGCGUCAUGUAGCGGUGAAAUGCUUAGAUAUGACGCAGAACACCAAUUGCGAAGGCAGCUUGCUACACUGUUAUUGACACUGAGGCACGAAAGCGUGGGGAUCAAACAGG
rnacentral:rRNA from 1 species